rnacentral:RNase_P_RNA from 1 species
GCCGCCAGACGACCGCGUCCAUCGCAAGAUGGCCGAGGAAAGUCCGGGCUCCACAGGGCAGGGUGACUGGUAAAUCCAGCCGUCUCCAGUCGCGGGGGGAUAGGGACAGUACAACAGAAAGCGAACCGCCUGCGUCGGGCAACCGGCGUCGGUAAGGGUGAAAAGGCGGGGUAAGAGCCCACCGCUCCGACCGCAAGGAAGGAGGCAUUGCAAACCCCAUCCGGAGCAAGCCCAGAUCGUGGCAAGGUGCUGCCCGCACCGUUCGAGCUACAAGUGGGCGCCUGAGGACCGAUGGCAACGUCGGACCUGAGAGAAAUGGUCGUCUUCGACAGAACCCGGCUUACCGGCGGCUCAC